GAUGAACGCUGGCGGCGUGCCUAAUACAUGCAAGUCGAGCGAACGGACGAGAAGCUUGCUUCUCUGAUGUUAGCGGCGGACGGGUGAGUAACACGUGGAUAACCUACCUAUAAGACUGGGAUAACUUCGGGAAACCGGAGCUAAUACCGGAUGAUAUUUUGAACCGCAUGGUUCAAAAGUGAAAGACGGUCUUGCUGUCACUUAUAGAUGGAUCCGCGCUGCAUUAGCUAGUUGGUAAGGUAACGGCUUACCAAGGCAACGAUGCAUAGCCGACCUGAGAGAGUGAUCGGCCACACUGGAACUGAGGCACGGUCCAGACUCCUACGGGAGGCAGCAGUAGGGAAUCUUCCGCAAUGGGCGAAAGCCUGACGGAGCAACGCCGCGGGAGUGAUGAAGGUCUUCGGAUCGUAAAACUCUGUUAUUAGGGAAAAACAUAUGUGUAAGUAACUGUGCACAUCUUGACGGUACCUAAUCAGAAAGCCACGGCUAACUACGUG
rnacentral:rRNA from 1 species